UGCAUCCGGAUGGGGAUUUGCAAGCAAGUUACUAAUUAUGUUGUGUGUGUGUGUGUGUACAAGGCUGCUGUCAAAAACGCGAGUAUGAUGUCUCUGAAGGGAAAGGAGGCCUUUGAAUGAGCAACUUCCAGCCCAGGCUCCUGCCUGUAAGGAUAAGGGCCAGAUCUAGCAUCCUCAUUUAGAGCCUUUCACAUAACCCAGGCUAUCACCAUUUCUAACAGAAUGAGACAUGGCACUCUGAAAAGAGCUUAAUGUUUCUGUGAAUAAGAUGAUUAAAAAGAAGAUUCACAUCAAUGAUUUAAUCUGGGCCACUGUUGAUGAAGUUCAGAAGGAGUAUUUGUUCCAGAGACCUGUGGAGAGGACAGGAAGAGGGUGGGAAAUGCAGCUCAGUGCUGGAGCAGCAGAGGAACCAUCCACAGCCACUGAGAUCAUCUGCUGGGUCCUGGCUGGCAGAAGCAAGCUCAGGCUUGCAGACUGAAGGGAGAGGAGGGCACGGUGUGGGGGAAAGGAGGAUAAUUGGAACUUUGGAACUUUCUUGCAUAUUUCUGAGCCACUUUUAACUCUUUUUGUGAAGGGAAUUUUUAUUCUAUAAGAUAAUGUUUGGUUGCUCAUGUGUGGGAAUUCUUGUAAUUCUAGCAACAGCUCCCUUAAUAUUCAUAAUAUAUAGUCCCUCCA
rnacentral:lncRNA from 1 species